rnacentral:lncRNA from 1 species
GCUGGAGCUGCUGCACACCCCUCCUCAGACCCACCUGUCCCCACCCGAAUACCCACCUCGCCAGGCUUUUGCAAAUCUCUUCUAGCUGUAGUUUGAAACACAUUGCAGGGUUCAGGUGACCUCUUCAAAAAAACUACCUCCUCAGGAUGAGGAAAUGAAUAGUUAUUUAUCUUAAAAUAUGAAAAGUCAGGAGCUUUAGAACAUGAAGAUGAUUUAAGAUUUUAACUUUUAUGUGUACUUCUAUUUGAGCACUCUCAUUUUGUCCUAAAGGGCAUUAUACAUUUAAGCAGUGAUACUGUAAAAAAAAAAAAAAAAUUGUAGUUUGAGUAUCUGAAUGUUGUUGGAAGUGGUGCCAGAAUCUGUUUAGGGGUACGUUUCAGAAUCUUAACCUGAAGUCAGUUGCAUGGAGUUAAAUAGUUAGGGUAUCGCUUCACUACCAGUGAUAUGAUGUUAGUUUUCAGUAGGCUCAGCAAGGUAGCACAUCUUCAUAAUGAGUUAGCCACAGCUUUGUCAUUUGCACAGAUACUCAUGAGAGACUGCCCAGCCAAGAGGGUAGAGUGACUGCCCUUUAUGCAAGAUUCUCCUUUUUGUCCCAGUUGGAGUUUUUAAUGCUAGAAUAUCAGAUGUCAACUGUUAGGCCAUAAACCACAGCCAGGACGGAAGGUUUACUGUGAGUAGGAAUAGCAAGUAGCUUACAGGUCAUACAGGAAAUGGUGUAGGUGAGGCUCUAGAAAAAUACCUUGACAAUUUGCCAAAUGAUCUUACUGUGCCUUCAUGAUGCAAUAAAAAAAAAAAGCUAAAAUUUUAGCAGAAAUCAGUGAUUUAUGAAGAGAGCAGCCACUCUGGUUUAACUCAGCUGUGUUAAUAUUUUUUAGAGUGCAAUUUAGACUGCAAAGAUAAAUGCACUAAAGAGUUUAUAGCCAAAAUCACAUUUAAAAAAUGAGAAAACACAAGUAAAUUUUCAGUGAACAAAAUUAUUUUUUUAAAGCACAUAAUCCCUAGUAUAGUCAGAUAUAUUUAUCACAUAGAGCAACUAGGUUGAAAAUACAAUUCAGUGACAUUUCUAGAGAAACUUUUUUCUACUCCCAUCAGUUCUUCAAAGCAUGGAACUUUUAUACAACAGAAAUGUUUGACAGACAUUUUAAGAAACUGCUGUAGUUUAGUGUUGAAGUACUGUAAUGCUGGGCAGCAAUCAUGUAUUAACCUAAUGAGAAAGGAGAAAUUAAAAUAGAGUAAAGAAUUUGAUUUAAUUAGUUUCCAGAGUACUGCUGCCAACUUAGACACUGAAUUUUCAGAGUUUGAAAUGUAACUCACCUCCCAGACUUGUCUGCAAAAUGAAGCUGAACUGUGCUACUAAUCCUGCUGUAGUGCAUGGUGGGGAGCCAAGGAGGGCCAUCUCUGGAGACCUCCUUUGUGAGGGGCCAUUGGAAUUGUGAAUGACCUAGCAGGUAUGUGUAAAACUGGACGUACUUCAUGGUGUGGUUCUUGUAUCUUGUUUCAUUCCUCACCACCCCCAAGAAAGCCAAUGUAUUGUCCCCAGUACAUCCUUUAGCUGUUUGGCUGAAAUACUGAAAUGAAUUACUAAUGCCCAAGGAGGGCAGUAGCACCUCUGCCUGCAGAGGCAAUGAUUUGUAACUGACCAGAGGAGAGUAAGGUGACCAGUGCAUUUGUGGUACAUGUUUCUAGCUCUGGUAAAGUUAAAUACUGGUAAGAUGUUUGUUAUAUCAGUACACUUGACCAUAAGCUUUUUUUUAAGUAACUUAAUUUCACUUUUGUUUAGACAUUUAAAUUAAAAUUCAGUCCUAAUUGUUGUUCAUUGUGAGAAGGAUAUUUAACAGUUCCUAUUGGGUAUUUUUGAAGUAGAAAAGGACAGCAUCUGAAGUCCUAAAAUCUUAAGGUAACAGGUAAAAAAAAAAAAAAAAUACAUGAGGACACUUAGUCACCACCUCAACAAAGUAAUCAAAGUAGAUCCUUUAUUUCAGCACCCACAAUUUCAACUAAUUUAGUUUCAUUAAUUACUAAAUCACUUUCAAAAAACAUUUAUUUAGCCAUUUUGACUAAUUGUAAUGAUAUAACCAGUUGUGCAUGAGGACGCAGCCAGUGUAUCAUUUUUUGUGGUGCAUUUUUUGGUAAGGAAUUCUAUAGAUUGAAGUACUCUUUGAAAACAGAACUAAAAUAUAUUUAUUCAUGUUAGUAUCAAAAAAUUUUUUGUGCAAACCAUUUCCUUCUCCUGGCAGGCUGAGUACAUGAUCCAGCACCCACAACCACUGGUUCCCAUUGAUACUGUAGAUGCAGGGGAGUCGGGCAAGAAACGCAUGAAGAGGUGCAUAAGGAAAGGGUCUUGACAGGCUGGAAUGGGGUUAUGAGUUGAGGGGCUUUGUCAUGUUUUGCUUUGAAAAUCGCUCUCUUGCAUUUGUGUUAAGCUUUUGAUCCCGUGUGUCUUGGUGGGAUGUGAGUUACAUAAGAAACUGCAGAGUGUAGCCUAAGCAACAGGGUUACCAGACUAGGCACAGAUGGAGAGAAAAGGGACCAAAAUGGGGUGGGGUGGCAGUUCAGUCUGGGGAAUAGGGAAAAAUAAUGUGAGGGUAAGAAAUAAACUAUAAUUGCCAGAAAUAAAAUGUAAGAGUGCAAUAAAUGUGCUUUUUAUUCUAAGCUGUGAACGGUUUUUUAAAAAAAUCAUUCCUAAUACAUUCACAUAUGUUCCAUAGCUGAUUAAAACCAGCUAUGUAAACAUAUAAUGCCUUUUUAUUCAUGUUAAUUAUCAACAUAAGUGGCUAACCUUUAUGUCUUAUUUAUCUUCAUCUUAUAUUAGUUUACAUGCCAGGGUGUGUGUGUGUGUGUUUCUGUGUGUGUCCUGUGCACGCAUGUGUGCACUGUACCCUUUUCCUUUCUUCAUUUGAAAAUGAAUUCAUUGGGUCCUGUUUCCUUUGGCCGUACAAUAUGGUAUAGCCUUGUUUGGCCUUCUUGAUGUUGCCUGAUUUGAAAGACUUAUCACAGUGAUAUUUGUGGUAACCCCAUUUGUUGGGUAUACAUCUGAUCCUUUGCUCAUUCAGCAGUUGCUGCUUCUCUUAAGAUGGGAUCAUACAGCUGAUCAGGGGAUUGAUUUGUCCAUUCAUCAUGCAUUUUCUUUGGUAUUUGUGAUUACUCUUUGGUUUAGACUAAGGAAAAGGAAAUCCCCCCCUUUUCAUGUACUUCUUGGUUUGAGGACAAGUCUCCUGUAAGGGAGAAGAAAGGGAAAUGCUUUGUGUUUAAACUGCAGUGAAUUAACGACUCCUGUUUCACCACCCCAAACCUUAUGGCGGCUCACACAUUCCUUUCUGUAAUUGCCAGAGGUUUGGGUUUAGUUCACUUCAGUUCUGCUUAAGCAUUAUAAAAAGGCUCUCAUGGAGUCUAGGGUGGCCCAGUAAAAAGGUGGGGACUUUUUCAUUGUCCUCAGACUUCUCUAUACCUGCUUUGCAAAAAUUACAAUGGAGUAACUAUUUUUAAAGCUUAUUUUUCAAUUCAUAAGAAAGACAUUUAUUUUCAGUCAAAUGGAUGAUGUUUCCCUCUUAUCCUUAACCCUCAAUGUUUGCUUGAACUUUUUUUUUUUUUUAAUUCUCCUCCAUACCCACUUCCUGAUACUUUGGUUCUCUUACCUGCUCAGGUCCCUUCAUUUGUACUUUGGAGUUUUUCUCAUGUAAAUUUGUAUAAUGGAACAUAUUGUUCAGUUUGGAUAGAAAGCAUGGAGAAUUUUUAAAAAGAUAGCUGAAAAUCAGAUUGAAGAAAUUUAUUUCUGUGUAAAGUUAUUUAAAAAACUCUGUAUUAUAUAAAAGGCAAAAAAAGUUCUAUGUAUUUGAUGUGAAUAUGCGAAUACUGCUAUAAUAAAGAUUGACUGCAUGGAGAAGUCU